rnacentral:rRNA from 1 species
AUCGAACGCUGGCGGCAGGCCUAACACAUGCAAGUCGAACGAGUGGCGGACGGGUGAGUAAUGUCUGGGCAACUGCCUGAUGGAGGGGGCUAACUACUGGAAACGGUAGCUAAUACCGCAUACCAUCGGAUUUGCCCAGAUGGGAUUAGCUAGUAGGUGGGGUAAAGGCUCACCUAGGCGACGAUCCCUAGCUGGUCUGAGAGGAUGACUAGCCACAAUGGAACUGGGAAACGGUCCAGACUCCUACGGGAGGCAGCAGGGGGGAAUAUUUCACAAUGGGCGCAAGCCUGAUGCAGCCACGCCGCGGGUAUGAAGAAGGCCUUCGGGUUGUAAAGUACUUUCGGCGGGGAGGCGGUACCCGCAGAAGAAGCACCGGCUAACUACGUGCCAGCCGCCGCGGUAAUUC